ensembl:lncRNA
AAACUGAAAGCUUGGUUUAGACAUAGCUUGUGCUAUGCCACACCAGUGCUUCCCACCUGGUGGUCCAAUGGUGCUUCUUGAGACAUAGACUGUAGUCCAUUAAAUGAUAGGAACUGCUUUAUUUCUUAAAAAAUAAAUGUGCAUUUCUCUGCAAAGCAAUGAGAGAAAAUAAAAGUAAUGAUUUUUCUAUACAUUUUUAUUGGUUAUAAAUCAAGAAUUGCAACAAUAAAGUGAGUUGCUGCAGCACAAGCAGAACAUCACAAGUUCUGGGAGCAAUUCCAUCUCAGAGAGGGGAGCACUGAAUUAAUCUGGGAUCUUUCUACUUUUGCUAAGUAAUGUCCAAGUCACCAACUACUCUGACUCUUUUCCUUUGGUUCUUCACUGGAGCGCUGGACACUAGACUUCAGCUCUGAGUUUGAUUGGUUGGAGAAACAUCUUUUCACCAUGAAAAACUUCUGUGAUGAACACCCAGGCAGCACCUAGAGGAAUGAUAACAAUAUAGAUGGGUCAUGAAGGUUGGAAAAGACCACUAAGACCAUCUAGUCCAGCAUCAACCCACCCUCACCAUGCUCACUAACCAUGUCCCUCAGUACCACAUCAAAGCGGAUCUUGAAUUCCUCCAGAGACAGGACCUCUUCUGUGCUGCAUGCAAGGCUAAAUGCAUAUAGAGGAGACAUUUCCUUUCCACCACGGGGAAAAGAAACAUGUCUAGGUAUUUGGAAAGUGUUUCGUUGUUUGGGUUUUUUGUUUGUUUGUUUUUGCCACCAGUGGGUUGUACAGCCCCUCCUUGCAAAACUAGUACUAGAUGAACGAUGAGCUAGGACUGCAUGAAGUUGGAAUGGUACAGGCUUGAACACUGCCAGAUCCAGUUUGUUCUUCCCAGAUUGCUAAAGCUUACUUUCAAAGGUCUCUUUAUUGGAGAUUGUGUAUUUAAAGCCUCUGAUGCACUGAUAUCUUGCUGUCAAUUGAAUGAAAACAAAUUUCUGUUACUUUGUAAUUUAAGGAGGACCUUUCAAUAAAAAUAUGUUUAC